rnacentral:rRNA from 1 species
CAAUAGCGUAUAUUAAAGUUGUUGCAGUUAAAAAGCUCGUAGUUGGAUUUCUGGAUGGGUGCCAAUGUCCGCCAAUGUGCGUGCGCAGCAGCGCCCAUCCAUCCUUCUGUUAACGUCUCUUGGCAUUCAUUUGCUGGUGGCGGGCUCAGAUAUUUUACCUUGAGAAAAUUAGAGUGUUUCAGGCAGGCCAAGCCGGAAUACAUUAGCAUGGAAUAAUGGAAUAGGACUAUGGUCUCUUUGUUGGUUUGAGGGACUGCAGUAAUGAUUAAUAGGGAUAGUUGGGGGCAUUAGUAUUUAAUUGUCAGAGGUGGAAUUCUCAGAUUUGUUAAAGACUAACUUAUGCGAAAGCAUUUGCCAAGGAUGUUUUCAUUAAUCAAGAACGAAAGUUAGGGGAUCAAAGACGAUUAGAUACCGU